GUUCUAACUCGGCCCCGUGAUCCGGGGUGAGGACAGUGUCUGGUGGGUAGUUUGACUGGGGCGGUCUCCUCCUAAAGAGUAACGGAGGAGCACGAAGGUUAGCUAAUCACGGUCGGACAUCGUGAGGUUAGUGCAAUGGCAUAAGCUAGCUUGACUGCGAGAGUGACGGCUCGAGCAGGUACGAAAGUAGGUCAUAGUGAUCCGGUGGUUCUGAAUGGAAGGGCCAUCGCUCAACGGAUAAAAGGUACUCCGGGGAUAACAGGCUGAUACCGCCCAAGAGUUCAUAUCGACGGCGGUGUUUGGCACCUCGAUGUCGGCUCAUCACAUCCUGGGGCUGAAGUAGGUCCCAAGGGUAUGGCUGUUCGCCAUUUAAAGUGGUACGCGAGCUGGGUUUAGAACGUCGUGAGACAGUUCGGUCCCUAUCUGCCGUGGGCGUUGGAAGAUUGAGAGGGGCUGCUCCUAGUACGAGAGGACCGGAGUGGACGCAUCACUGGUGUUCGGGUUGUCAUGCCAAUGGCAUUGCCCGGUAGCUAAAUGCGGAAAAGAUAAGCGCUGAAAGCAUCUAAGCGCGAAACUUGCCUCGAGAUGAGUCUUCCCUGUGGCUUUAAGCCACCUGAAGGGACGUUUAAGACUAAGACGUUGAUAGGCUGGGUGUGUAAGUGCAGCGAUGCAUUGAGCUAACCAGUACUAAUGACCCGAGAGGCUUAACCUUACAACACCAAAGGUGUUU
rnacentral:rRNA from 1 species